rnacentral:lncRNA from 1 species
UUGGGAACAUCAUUAUAGGCACCUCCGCCAGGUACACCAUAUCCAUUACCGAUUUCUGUCUAAAAAAUGAGUUAGCAGCAGCAGUCGUCGGUCAGUCUACAUCCACACAAGUCAAUGUCUUGAAAAGUGAUUCUCCCCAAGUAAAAAUCAUGUAUAUGAUUUGUACAGAGUGGGAGGCACUUCUGGUUCAGGCUUUCAUGAAUUACUCCCAUCCCUUGCACCCAUUUUUCGAAUGGGUUCACAUUCAAACUGUUUUGUAG